UGCGUAGGGGGCGAGCGUUAUCCGGAUUCAUUGGGCGUAAAGCGCGCGUAGGCGGCCGCCUAAGCGGAACCUCUAACCCCGGGGCUCAACCUCAGGCCGGGUUCCGGACUGGGCGGCUCGAGUGCGGUAGAGGAGAGCGGAAUUCCCGGUGUAGCGGUGGAAUGCGCAGAUAUCGGGAAGAACACCGAUGGCGAAGGCAGCUCUCUGGGCCGUCACUGACGCUGAGGCGCGAAAGCUGGGGGAGCGAACAGG
rnacentral:rRNA from 1 species